rnacentral:rRNA from 1 species
AACGAACGCUGGCGGCAGGCUUAACACAUGCAAGUCGAACGCCCCGCAAGGGGAGUGGCAGACGGGCGAGUAACGCGUGGGAAUCUACCCAGUUCUACGGAACAACUGAGGGAAACUUCAGCUAAUACCGUAUACGCCCUACGGGGGAAAGAUUUAUCGGAAUUGGAUGAGCCCGCGUUGGAUUAGCUAGUUGGUGGGGUAAUGGCCUACCAAGGCGACGAUCCAUAGCUGGUCUGAGAGGAUGAUCAGCCACACUGGGACUGAGACACGGCCCAGACUCCUACGGGAGGCAGCAGUGGGGAAUAUUGGACAAUGGGCGAAAGCCUGAUCCAGCCAUGCCGCGUGAGUGAUGAAGGCCCUAGGGUUGUAAAGCUCUUUCAGUGGGGAAGAUAAUGACGGUACCCACAGAAGAAGCCCCGGCUAACUUCGUGCCAGCAGCCGCAGUAAGAC